rnacentral:lncRNA from 1 species
UGAUUUCCCCACUCAUCAUCAAUCCACCCCACCAUUUCCAAACCCAAAUGAGAGAGGCAGUGAUAACAACAAUAAUCAUUAUUAACAAUGAAAAACACAAGAGAAUGGAUAAAAAGCAUAUUAAAAUCUCGGAAAAACUUUAAUAGAACUUUCCAUUCCCAUACACAAAAUGAAAGGUACCAUACAUCUACAGAAAGGAGGUAAGGUACAAGUUCUUUUUCCUUCGUAUUUCCUCUCUAUGCCAUCAUCUCUCACCUCCCAAUUACUCCAUCGCACCAUAAUAAUUAAUAAUUGAGAAGAAACCCCAACCCAAAAAGCUAUAAAACAAAAGAGAACCGUAUUUUACUUCUUCGUUGAUUGCCC